UGGGGUUUGAUCGAUGCCAAUCAGGAUUACCUUUCUUCCUUUGGGAGGGAAGGYGCCUGGUACCCUUUACCAUAUACCAUGAAUUCAGAAUUGAAAGUAUAAUAUAAGAACAACUUUUAACAAUGGAUCUCUUGGUUCUCGCAUCGAUGAAGAACGUAG
rnacentral:rRNA from 1 species